rnacentral:rRNA from 1 species
CCUACGGGAGGCAGCAGUGAGGAAUAUUGGUCAAUGGACGAGAGCCUGAACCAGCCAAGUAGCGUGAAGGAUGACUGCCCUAAGGGUUGUAAACUUCUUUUAUAUGGGAAUAAAAUGCUCCACGUGUGGCUUUUUGUAUGUACCAUAUGAAUAAGCAUCGGCUAACUCCGUGCCAGCAGCCGCGGUAAUACGGAGGAUCCGAGCGUUAUCCGGAUUUAUUGGGUUUAAAGGGUGCGUAGGGGGGUUGUGAAGUCAGUGGUGAAAAUUUGGGGCUCAACCGUAACCGUGCAGUUGAAACUGGCGGACUUGAGUACAGUAGAGGUAGGCGGAAUGCGUGGUGUAGCGGUGAAAUGCUUAGAUAUCACGAAGAACUCCGAUUGCGAAGGCAGCUUACUGGACUGGGACUGACACUGAGGCUCGAAAGUGUGGGUAUCAAACAGGAUUAGAUACCCGAGUAGUC